rnacentral:sRNA from 1 species
GGGUUUGCUUACCCAUUUUACCAAGACUCGUAUUCCAUAAUUCUAAAACGAGGUUCUUUGUUUAAAGCAGCCAUGACACUAUAUGAUAAACGGGUCGAUCUGAAAAUGUUGAAUUUGUUUGUUGUGCAACAGUUCGUGUACGAAGGGAAUCUUUGAAACAUGCAAAAUACAUUGGUGCCGAUUUUGUGAAGAAAAUUGAGGCUAAAUAUUUCAAUGCGUUGACAGUUUUCACAUAUGACGGUGGUGUUAGCUUGUUGUGAUUUUCGUUUCGUUUUCAUUUAUGCUUUGCGUUAACCUGGGAACUGUCGCUUGUAUUUCCUGAUUUUUACGUAUCAGAGACUUCGGUAAAUCAAACAGUUUACUGUUUACCUGCGCAAAUUAAGCAACAUCUGAUGUAUUAAGAAAGAACUAAAAUGCAAUUCAUUAAGGCUAUCGGUAAUUCGAUAUCAUCUUUUGCGUAAUGGUAGAAUAAUGCAAUAUGUUUUGUUGAGAUGCUCGGCAUUUUCUCGAGUUUAUUCAGUUUAAAUAGAGUUUAAUAUCGCUGACGGAAAUAUGUAGGUAUAUACAUGUAUAUGAUUCAUUUUGAAAAAUAAAUUGCGUUCUUUAUUUGUU